CCAGGCUGGUCUCAAACUUCUGGGCUCAAGCAACCCUCCAGCCUCGGCCUCCCAAAGUGUUGGGAUCAUAGGCAUGAGACACUGUGCCUGGCGAAGAUAUUUUUACCGAAAGGGACAGAGGGUGUACUUGGAGGCACAUACCAAAGAAAUGCCAUGUGAGAACAAGCAAGAAGGUGGCCAUCUGUAAACCAGGAAGAGUGUCCUCACCAGAAAAUGAAGUGGCUAGAACUUUGAUAUCAGAAUUCCAGCCUCCAUAACUGUUUACAAAAGACUUUGUGAGAGAGCUGGCAUGAUGGCCGAAUAGGAACAGCUCCAGUCUGCAGCUCCCAGUGAGACUGACACAGAAGGCGGGUGAUUUCUGCAUUUCCAACUGAGGUACCCGGUUCAUCUCAUUGGGACUGGUUGGACAGUGGGUGCAGCCCAUGGAGGAUGCACUCAAGUGGGGUGGGGCGUCGCCUCACCUGGGAAGCACAAAGGGUCAGG